GUGCUCGCUCCGGCAGCACAUAUACUACAACUGCAACCACACAGAGAAGAGACUAGCAUGGCCCCUGCGCAAGGAUGACACGUAAAUUCAUGAAGCGGUCCAUGUUUUU
rnacentral:snRNA from 1 species